GCCGGACCCGACUGCUAUCAGAGUGGGACUAAGCCAUGCGAGUCAACAUAGCAAUAUGUGGCAUACGGCUCAGUAACACGUAGUCAACAUGCCCAGGGGACGUGGAUAACCUCGGGAAACUGAGGAUAAACCGCGAUAAGUCACUACUUCUGGAAUGGGUAAUGACUCAAAUCUAUAUGGCCCCUGGAUUGGACUGCGGCCGAUCAGGCUGUUGGUGAGGUAAUGGCCCACCAAACCUGUAACCGGUACGGGCUCUGAGAGGAGGAGCCCGGAGAUGGGCACUGAGACAAGGGCCCAGGCCCUAUGGGGCGCAGCAGGCGCGAAACCUCUGCAAUAGGCGAAAGCUUGACAGGGUUACUCUGAGUGACUUUCGUUAAGAAAGUCUUUUGACACCUCUAAAAAUGGUGUAGAAUAAGGGGUGGGCAAGUCUGGUGUCAGCCGCCGCGGUAAUACCAGCACCCCGAGUGGUCGGGACGAUUAUUGGGCCUAAAGCAUCCGUAGCCGGCCUUACAAGUCCUCCGUUAAAUCCAGCUGCUUAACAGAUGGGCUGCGGAGGAUACUAUAAGACUAGGAGGCAGGAGAGGCAAGCGGUACUCAGUGGGUAGGGGUAAAAUCCGUUGAUCCAUUGAAGACCACCAGUGGCGAAGGCGGCUUGCCAGAAUGCGCUCGACGGUGAGGGAUGAAAGCUGGGGGAGCAAACCGGAUUAGAUACCCGGGUAGUCCCAGCUGUAAACGAUGCAGACUCGGUGAUGGACUAGCUUUAUGCUGGUCCAGUGCCGCAGGGAAGCCGUUAACUCUGCCGCCUGGGUAGUACGGUCGCAAGACUGAAACUUAAAGGAAUGGCGGGGGAGCACCACAGGGGUGUAACCUGC
rnacentral:rRNA from 1 species